AUUGAACGCUGGCGGCAGGCUUAACACAUGCAAGUCGAGCGGGGAAGGGUAGCUUGCUACCUGACCUAGCGGCGGACGGGUGAGUAAUGCUUAGGAAUCUGCCUAUUAGUGGGGGACAACAUUCCGAAAGGAAUGCUAAUACCGCAUACGCCCUACGGGGGAAAGCAGGGGAUCCUCGGAACUUGCGCUAAUAGAUGAUCCUAAGUCAGAUUAGCUUGUUGGUGGGGUAAAGGCCUACCAAGGCGACGAUCUGUAGCGGGUCUGAGAGGGUGAUCCGCCACACUGGGACUGAGACACGGCCCAGACUCCUACGGGAGGCAGCAGUGGGGAAUAUUGGACAAUGGGCGAAAGCCUGAUCCAGCCAUGCCGCGUGUGUGAAGAAGGCCUUUUGGUUGUAAAGCACUUUAAGCGAGGAGGAGGCUACCGAGAUUAAUACUCUUGGAUAGUGGACGUUACUCGCAGAAUAAGCACCGGCUAACUCUGUGCCAGCCGCCGCGGUAAUAC
rnacentral:rRNA from 1 species